rnacentral:rRNA from 1 species
AUGAACGCUAGCUACAGGCUUAACACAUGCAAGUCGAGGGGCAGCAUGGUCUUAGCUUGCUAAGACUGAUGGCGACCGGCGCACGGGUGAGUAACACGUAUCCAACCUGCCGUCUACUCUUGGACAGCCUUCUGAAAGGAAGAUUAAUACAAGAUGGCAUCAUGAGUCCGCAUGUUCACAUGAUUAAAGGUAUUCCGGUAGACGAUGGGGAUGCGUUCCAUUAGAUAGUAGGCGGGGUAACGGCCCACCUAGUCUUCGAUGGAUAGGGGUUCUGAGAGGAAGGUCCCCCACAUUGGAACUGAGACACGGUCCAAACUCCUACGGGAGGCAGCAGUGAGGAAUAUUGGUCAAUGGGCGAGAGCCUGAACCAGCCAAGUAGCGUGAAGGAUGACUGCCCUAUGGGUUGUAAACUUCUUUUAUACAAGGAAUAAAGUCGGGUAUGCAUACCCGUUUGCAUGUACUUUAUGAAUAAGGAUCGGCUAACUCCGUGCCAGCAGCCGCGGUAAUACGGAGGAUCCGAGAGUUAUCCGGAUUUAUUGGGUUUCAAGGGAGCGUAGAUGGAUGUUUAAGUCAGUUGUGAAAGUUUGCGGCUCAACCGUAAAAUUGCAGUUGAUACUGGAUAUCUUGAGUGCAGUUGAGGCAGGCGGAAUUCGUGGUGUAGCGGUGAAAUGCUUAGAUAUCACGAAGAACUCCGAUUGCGAAGGCAGCCUGCUAAGCUGCAACUGACAUUGAGGCUCGAAAGUGUGGGUAUCAAACAGGAUUAGAUACCCUGGUAGUCCACACGGUAAACGAUGAAUACUCGCUGUUUGCGAUAUACUGCAAGCGGCCAAGCGAAAGCGUUAAGUAUUCCACCUGGGGAGUACGCCGGCAACGGUGAAACUCAAAGGAAUUGACGGGGGCCCGCACAAGCGGAGGAACAUGUGGUUUAAUUCGAUGAUACGCGAGGAACCUUACCCGGGCUUAAAUUGCAGAUGAAUUACGGUGAAAGCCGUAAGCCGCAAGGCAUCUGUGAAGGUGCUGCAUGGUUGUCGUCAGCUCGUGCCGUGAGGUGUCGGCUUAAGUGCCAUAACGAGCGCAACCCUUGUUGUCAGUUACUAACAGGUUCCGCUGAGGACUCUGACAAGACUGCCAUCGUAAGAUGUGAGGAAGGUGGGGAUGACGUCAAAUCAGCACGGCCCUUACGUCCGGGGCUACACACGUGUUACAAUGGGGGGUACAGAGGGCCGCUACCACGCGAGUGGAUGCCAAUCCCCAAAACCUCUCUCAGUUCGGACUGGAGUCUGCAACCCGACUCCACGAAGCUGGAUUCGCUAGUAAUCGCGCAUCAGCCACGGCGCGGUGAAUACGUUCCCGGGCCUUGUACACACCGCCCGUCAAGCCAUGGGAGCCGGGGGUACCUGAAGUGCGUAACCGCGAGGAGCGCCCUAGGGUAAAACUGGUGACUGGGGCU